rnacentral:rRNA from 1 species
CCUACGGGGGGCAGCAGUCGAGAAUCAUUCACAAUGGGGGAAACCCUGAUGGUGCGACGCCGCGUGGGGGAAUGAAGGUCUUCGGAUUGUAAACCCCUGUCAUGUGGGAGCAAAUUAAAAAGAUAGUACCACAAGAGGAAGAGACGGCUAACUCUGUGCCAGCAGCCGCGGUAAUACAGAGGUCUCAAGCGUUGUUCGGAAUCACUGGGCGUAAAGCGUGCGUAGGCUGUUUCGUAAGUCGUGUGUGAAAGGCGCGGGCUCAACCCUCGGACGGCACAUGAUACUGCGAGACUAGAGUAAGGGAGGGGGAAGCGGAAUUCUCGGUGUAGCAGUGAAAUGCGUAGAUAUCGAGAGGAACACUCGUGGCGAAGGCGGGUUCCUGGACAUUAACUGACGCUGAGGCACGAAGGCCAGGGGAGCGAAAGGGAUUAGAUACCCUGGUAGUC